AACUAAUUGACUUUGAAACUGCGAAUGGCUCAUUAUAUCAGUUAUAGUUUAUUUGGUGAAGGAUACUAAUUGGAUAACCGUAGUAAUUCUAGGGCUAAUACAUGAGUAAAGUCCCAUUGGGAUGUGUUUAUUAGAAUGAAAACCAUAUGCUUCGGCAUGAUAGUGAGUAAUAGUAACCUAUCGUAUCGCAUGCUUACAAGUAGCGAUGAGUCUUUCAAGUUUCUGCCCUAUCAGCUUUCGAUG
rnacentral:rRNA from 1 species